UACAGAGGUGGCAAGCGUUGUUCGGAAUUACUGGGCGUAAAGGGCGAGUAGGUGGCCAUCUAAGUCAGACGUGAAAUCCCCCGGCUUAACCUGGGAACUGCGUCUGAUACUGGACGGCUAGAGUUUGGGAGAGGGAUGCAGAAUUCCAGGUGUAGCGGUGAAAUGCGUAGAUAUCUGGAGGAACACCGGUGGCGAAGGCGGCUUGCUGGGCCUUACCUGACGCUGAGGAGCGAAAGCGUGGGGAGCGAACAGG
rnacentral:rRNA from 1 species